GUAGGUGAACCUGCGGAAGGAUCAUUAACACGUAUCCACGUUAAUCACCCGAGAACUUACUUAGGACUAGCUGAGGAUCAAGUAAAAAGCUUCGGCUUCCGGCCCCUUGUUCCUUUCUUCGGAGGGAGCACAGUGUGGACAUGAUCCCCGGCUUCCUAAGCCUGGUAUUCAUCUCUUCGGAGAUGAACACCAACAACAAGAACCUUGCGCGGAGUCUCUCGAGACUCCUCAAAGGGUUCUUGAUGAGUAA
rnacentral:misc_RNA from 1 species